CUCAGCUGCAGGACACAAACAAUCUAGGGCUGCUGGGCUGGAGCUGCCGGGGCCAGGAGGAAGGUGGGGAUGGGGGCAUGGCCUGGAGGGGCAGCUCCUGGGGGCACUCACCGUGGAAGGGCUCUGGCAGAGCUGUUCUGUAGCAUCAGUGACACCUGGCAACUGCAUUCGCCAACCCGGUUCCUGAAGAAUUCCAAAGAUCAAUAAAGAUCAAGAGGCCCUCUGGGCAAAGGGCCUGUUCAGUGUGGACUUGAUCACAGGCUGCUGGCCAGCGGGGAAGAUGGAAGUCGCCGGCUUGACUGAGACAUUCACCCCAGCCUUAGAUUUAGGGCAGGACCCUCUCACUGUGUGGUCACCCUUUAUUUUCUCAGCUCUUAUUUAAAAAGAAGAAGAAAAAAAGAAUGUCUGGACAACAGCUAAGGCAGGCAUCCAGAAAUAGGAACACUUUUCUUAGAACACAGCCCAGAUGCAAACAUCAGGAGCAGACACUGCCCAGAUGGCGGCUUUACCCCAGCUGGACUCCUCUGAGGCUUUGGUGGUGGACAGCCCUGUGCCGCAAGCUGGAGUAAGCCGAUUCUCCCCAUGGGGGAAGCAGCAUUCCCUGUUCCUGCCUCUCUGCAAUCUCAGCGAGUCCCCAGCCUUACAGAGCUUCAUGCAGAUGGGCUCAAAUUCCUAGAUGCUACGGGAACGUCACCAACUCCAGCGCACUCCCCUUUAAGCCUGUGGCAGUCUCCUCUUCAACCCCACCUUCUCUGGGUUCUUCCCACAGCCCCUGUUUCCUGGGGGUUUGGCAAAGCCAAGUCACCCUGUGGGUCUCAGCCAUUGGGGACUAAAAGCCUAUCUGCCUCUCCCUCCCCUGGGAGCUCAGAAGUAUGCAUGAAAGGGUGGCCUGGGAGCUGCCUCCCACCUGGCAGCUCACUGGUUCCACCUGCAGCUGUGGAGGGGAUCCUGGCCUCAGGCAAGUCUGCCUCCGUCUGAAGCCCCACUUCCUCAUCGGUCUCUACGGGGAGUCGUGGUAUCAUCACAGGACUUUGGGUAGUUUUAAAGAGAUAAUAGGUAAAAAUACUUUGUACAACCAUUCAUUAUCAAUGAGAACAUUUGUACGAGCCUAGCAUGAGAACUGACUCACAUCUAUCCACUUGGGCUCAAUUACUCAAUGGGUUUAUCAGCAGUCAAAGAACCAAUGGAGUCUGGGCUUCACCCAAGGAUUAUGGACUCAUUUUUAUAGGACCUGAGGCAAAUACUAUUAGGAAUACAAAUGCGUUGCUUAAAAAUAUCAUGGGAUAUAUCUCAAAGUAAAUUGAGGACAAGCUUUCAUUGCACCCCCUCCAGGAGAUGAGUGAGUGAACUUGGGGGAAACCGGCCGAUCGGCAGACAUUUAGUUCGGUGUCACUCAUUGCCCCCGGUCCUGUGUUUUGUUCCCCAAAGCCCUACAGCAAGAAAGAAGGGAAGAUGGAAAUGAUUGGGAGUGAAUGUUCAGAACGAGCCUGUUCUCAGACCGGCAAGGUGGGACCCAGUCCCAACUCACCAUUCCACUGUACUGGUGUAGAGACCAGGAGAGACUUAACUAACGGGAAGUGACUUGGCUAACAUCAUGGGGCCAGUGUGGGCAGACCCAGAGCUCAUGCCCAGGCCUUCUGAUGACAAGGCCGGGAUGUUACGUAGGCGUCCCUUCAAAGGGAACCAGUCUCCUCCAACGGUGCCCAUGGUGACCGCUCCAGGACAAACACACUGUCAGCUGACCCACAUCCUAGAUCCUUGACAACUGAGAAAAACUAAAGCAGAACAGAGACAAGCCAGAAUGGAAAAGGAUUGAUCGGGCUGUCGUCCAAUGGGAAAGACAAGCACAAUGACUAAGAAUAAGCCCAAGCAGAUUGCUGACAAGUAAAAACGAUGCCAUGUAGACGAAGCUGUUAAUAGGACUUAAGAAAGAGCAAGAAUGGAGAAAGGGAAGAACAGAGAGAAGAGAAAGAAAAAGAGGCAAUGUGAGGAAGAGAGAGGGGGAAAAGGGAAGCAAAGGAAGGGGGAGAGAAUGAGAGACAGACAGAUAUACGCACUCUCCCCUUUAUGAUUCUACUGACCCAUGGAGUUUUUCCGUCCUUGCCAUUUUGGCUGUUUUUGACUCACUAGAAGUUGUUUUUGAAGCCAGUUCCUAGUCAUGAAACUAAACAUGAAAUGAUCGCUCUGGUGAAGCAAAAGCAUCAAACAAAUGACCUAUCAGGAUCCAAGAGCAGCCAUGCAGAAAGCCCAUGGGCUGAAGCAGGUGGUGGCCUGGUGCUGCUGCUGAUCACCUGGACUACUGUGGGCAGCUGACAUCACCUCCUGAGCAUCACUUUCUUCAUCUGUAAAGUGAAUUCGGAAGUGUCAAGUGGAGUUGUUGUGAGAAUUAAAUAAAACAAGCCAGCUUUUCUAGCCAAUUAGACUUUCCUAUCAAACAAUUCCUUCUUAAAAACAAAUUGAUAGUGGUUUUACUUUAAAAACCUAAUAUAAAUUGAUACCCAACAUGGCGUUUUGGAAAGCUUUUAUUUAGAGGAAGAGUUAGGAGCAGUUUGCUACCUCUUGCACUAAUUCUUCUUAUAAAAUAACCAGUAAAGCCUCUUCUUCAAACCCAGCACCAGGAGUGAGGCCUUUACCUCCUCUAGGACCUGACACUAGGAACCCACUGUUGCCUUUGUCCUGGUGGCUGACCAGGAUCUGCCAUCUCCUUCUGCACUACAAUAAUUCUCCUGUCUUCCCUUCACAGCCCUUCCUUUUCUUUCCGUUGUUUUAGUAGGAAAAACAACUAAAUUCUGAAUUUCUCCUUAUAAGUGUGUUUUUCUACCUGCCAACAUUUGCUGGUCAACUUGCUACUUUCUGAAGCCCCAAGGUCCUGGAUCCAAAUUUGCAUUCAACACAUGUUUGCCUUAAUCUUGGAUCUACCAAAUAUUUUCCUUAGGCUUUGAACAUGAGCUGUAUUCCUUAGUUAUUACAAUGCAAAAUGCCAUUCCAACAGCAAUUCUGAUUCACUCCAAACCCUGUUAUACUAUGGAAAUUCAACAGAUCACCAAUUGAGGGGGCACCAUGGAAGCACAGUGCCCCCAUCUUUCUUUAUUUGGAGUUCAAAAUCCAGCAUGGUCCAGGGAUCACCACCAGCCUCCUCCUUUCCCUAAAUUCCAGGAUUGUUAACUCUGGAGGAUUCAUCAAAGAAGAGUUACAUUCUCCCUGCUGACACGCCACACAGCCCCUUCCCAUUUCCAGGGGGUUUGUGCAAGCUGUAAAUCCCCGGGGCAUCUGAAUUCCCCUUAAACAAAAGUCUGUCUCCUAACCAAACAGAACCUUCUUGAAGUCAGCAAAAUGGCUACUUUGUGGCAUUAAAAGGAUUUUUCCUCCCAUAGCCUUGUUUUCUUUUGGCCUCCCUUCCUCCCAGAACUUAAGAAGCAAAUGGGAAGAGAAGUGUGCGAGGAAAAGAAUGAAAGGAACAAUGACGUAUAAUAUCCCAAAAAAGAUCUCUGACCAGUAAUGAUAGGGUUGCUAGCUGGGAAGCAAGGAUCACUGAAACCACAGCCUUUCCACUGUCUUAGAAGCUAUAAUCACACUCUAAACAUAAAGGUAUGGCAUCCAAACCACCCACUGUUCCCUCCCAGUGCGGGCCUGGAAGCCACACUCUCAGUUACACUGUCAUCACAUGGGUCACAUUUUGCCACUAGGAGCUCAAUCCUGCGAUUCUGGAUAGCAUUCUUGAUCUGGGUCUCUAUGUAAUUAUGACUGACUAUGGGCUGUAGAGGUGGAGAGUUAUAAAGCUCUAUAAUGGCCCUAUUAGUAAAAUGAGGCUCAAAUUCUAUGGCAUGGGCACAAACGUACAUGUAUAUGCUCAGAAGUCUUUCUGUAACACAAAGAACCCAUGUGGUACACAAACCCAAUUCUGUACUCAACCUACAUAAAAUGAAAAUAUUGGUUAUAAAUUUUAACAUGUAAUUAAUUGCUUGCCUUCUUACAGUUUAAAGGCUUGUGGACAGAUGUUUUGAAUAAACUAAGCUUCUUAAUAUAUAUAAAAAAGGCAAGUUAAAACUGGUAUUUAUUCUUCUUCAAUAUAUUUUUCUGUAGCCAAUGUAAGUAUUUAAGAAGUUGUCAGUGUUUUUAAGCUUGAGGAGGUCAGGAUCCAUACGUUAUGUUAACUGGAUAGAUUGUAUAGUGUCCAAAGUACCUGUGCAUAACCAGGGAAGACAAAGGAGGUGGCUCCAGGCUGCCCCGCAGAGUGCCUGGUAUUAAUCUGAAAACAAACUGUGCCUCUACUCAUUGCCAAGCAAACGCUGACUUCACUGAUGCCUGUUGUCUUCAUUAGAAGCUCUGCAUCAAAACAAAUACUCUAAUAAAUAUGCUUGUUAUAUUUUAUUAUCUAUUCUAGAGAUGAUCUUUUCAUCUUUUUAACCUACCCACAUUUUAUGUCCUUAGAUGCCUUAAACAGGCCCACUAGGCCUUCAGUUAAAUAAACAAACCGUUAGGCUGAGAAACUAUGUCAAAUGGGCACAACUGGCAGGCUAUUAAUAAAUCUAGACACUUAAGAAUUUUAGCCUUGAUGGAGAUACUCCAGGGGGAAAAAAUUUUAAAUAUUCUAGCCCAAGGAAGCCCCCAGCAAUGACUCAGUCCAAACGCUGUGAAAUAUAUACUGUAUUUCAGAUAUUCCUGGGCUCUGCAGGAAUUUGAAUUAAUCAUCCUGGAUCAGGACUCAUCCUGGGUCAGGAGGAAAGACAUUCAUUGCUUGGUUAACUAUUGGGGAAUUUUUUUUCCCUAGCCUGUGUUGGGGAAAGAAGGAAUAUUUGUUGAGGGACUCUUUUUUUUUUUUUUUUUUUUUUUUUUUUUUUUUUGAGACAGGGUCUUGCUCUGUCAUCCAGGCUGGAGUCCAGUGGUGUGAUUACGGCUCACUGCAACUGCAGUCUCGACCUCGCAGGCUCAAGCAAUCCUCCUGCCUCAGCCUCCUGAGUAGCUGGGACUAGAGG
rnacentral:lncRNA from 1 species